UAGCUGCAACCAAUCGUGCAGAUAUACUUAAUCCUGCUUUACUCCGUUCUGGUCGCCUGGACCGAAAGAUUGAGUUCCCUCAUCCGACCGAAGAAGCAAGAGCUCGGAUUUUGCAAAUUCACUCAAGAAAGAUGAACGUACAUCCUGAUGUCAACUUUGAGGAGCUGGCUCGUUCAACUGAUGAUUUCAACGGUGCACAGCUGAAGGCUGUUUGUGUGGAAGCUGGCAUGCUUGCUCUACGGAGGGAUGCUACAGAGGUUUGUGCUGAAUCUUGUUCACUUGAGACACUGGUGUCUUUAUGGAAGUAUCAAUUUGUCGGUAGAUAAUGGAAGAUGAUAACCGCAGAUGAAGUUGAUUAGGAUCUUGAUAAUCAGAAAAUUAAAUUCUAAACAGAUCAAAAUUAGGUCUACGGUAUUUCAGCAUGAACUGUACAGCUUGAAAUAUAAUGCGACGCCCAAUGUCGCCGUAGCCACCGCUACCUUGCCCUCCCUCCGAACCUUUGCGAGCAGUGCCCUGUAUAGGAAGGCCUUCCCGGUGCCUCCCGGGCCAUCGACAAAGAAUACACCCCAUCACCGGCAUCUACUGCUGCCAGGAUCUCGUCGUAUGCAAGCCUUUGCUCAUGGUGAGGCUAAGUAUGGCGCUGCUGCAAGGCCAAGUGCGUGGAGGAGCACCUCCAUCCCCCAAGUACGACUUCCCAUCUGACGCCCAUGAAGCGAGUACUCUGCUUCUCUCUAUUGCCUACAAGGACAGAUUUACGUGGAGUAGAAAUUAUAGGAUUAUAAGGUUGAAUAUAAGGAGGAACAGAACAUAUGGCUAGCUAGAUAUUUGUUCGGGAAUAUUUUCAUGUCAACCUAUGAGAGCCCCUUUUCUGCCAUGGAUUUGGAUUCUUUGCAGAUGGCGUAGAAGAGAGAUGAGAAAGAUAUGCAGACAACAAAGUUUCUCAAAUGGAUAUGAACAGUUUAGUUCCUCCCUCUGUUAUGUUUCCACAACCUGAGAUUUCCAACUCCAAACUUGACCUCCCUACCAGAUAAAAGGACGUGGUGGAGGGCGUUUUUCUUGUCGGGGUUGCCCUGGAUGUGAGAAUCCUACUUGGUGAAAGUCAUUGGCGUGCUUCUCUGUCUUAUGUCAUCUUGUACAAAUAUAUGGGAGGUUUGCUCUGCCUUAUAUCAUUGCUUAUUACACAUGGCAAAGCUACACUCUAGAAUUAAUCACUAUUAACCACUUUACAAGGAAAAAUGUGACUAUUUUGGCAGCCAUAUGUUCAUGAUGUGAAAUAGGUUGUUAUUUUGUAGCAUCCCACAUGUACUAGACAACGGAACAAUAUUUAUCAUGUUUCAACACAUGGGUCUUUUGGUACAAAGGAAAAAGGGCAACUAUUGUAUUUGUUAACACUGUUCCUG